rnacentral:lncRNA from 1 species
AUUUUCUGGUUUGAUUUUUUGGAUUGUAUCUCAGUUUGUUUAAAGUUGUGUAUGUACUUGGCAAUGUAGCACUUAACUUUUGACAUUCUGAUUAUUUGACUGAAUAGACAUUUAUUUUUUCUUUUUGGUCUCUUUUGGCUAAAAAGGGGGAGAAGUAGCUAAAGUAGCUAUAUGAUGAUAUACUAUAGUAAAUAUGCUAUGCUAGAGAUGAUGUUACAUAUGAUGUUGGAAAUGAU